AGCAGCUGUACCCUGACCCUCCACCUACUUGCCUCUGCCACCAGCAGCAGUCCACCUCCACCUUCAGACUCCUACAACCUGCAGGUGUAGGCAGCCUGCAGGUUGUAGCCUGUAGUGGAAAUCCUGCCAGUCAUCCAUCCAGUUCAGUCUUAUCUAAACACCUGCUCCUGAAGUUUGCUUCCUCCACCAGCCUUGCACUGUUCUGGAUCUCCUACCUUUAAGAUCUCAUCCAGUCACCCUGCUCCUGAGUUGCACUAUUCAUUUGGUUGAAUAAACUGUAUAAAUGUA